CUCCACCUUGUGUUCAACCACAAUACAACAGAUUCACUUUACUUUGUAAAUAUUCUCAGUCUCGACCACGCCGGCCGACACGCAAGCAGGGCACCAGCAGCCACCAGGGCUAUGAACAACAGACAGAGGAUGACAACACCACCUAUGAGGACAGGUGAGAUGAGAGGACACAGAUGCAUGGACGCCUUGCCGUUUUAUGUAUUUUUUUUACAAUGCAUUUCCCUUUCCAGUGUAACAGAAAGUCUCGAGCAGUGCUCUGGCACCAGCGACUUACAGGAAGAUGAUGAUCUCUCUCUCUUGGCCGACCCGGAGGAGAUGGAUCUGCUCGGUGAGAUCUUCGACACGCUGAGUGCUCAGAGCUCCAGAGAGCCGGGUUUACUCUACGGCACACGCAGCCUCGACCUCUUCAGCUCCGACAGCAGUGAAUUCAUCUCACAUAAGAGUCUGACCAACCCAAGUCAGGAGAGUCUAAGUCCCUCUUUUGGAAACAGCGGAAGUCUCAUGAGCUGCGAGGAGGAGCUAGAGGAGGGGCCUGGUGGUGAGGGGGAGGAGCCUGAUGUCCUGAUUGACAGGCCAGAAAAUGAGCUUAACCAAUUAGAGAAGGACUUGACCGAGUUAGGGGAAAAUCUGUGUUCAGAUCUACAAAUUCUAGAGGAUGCUUCUCUGGAUCCCGAAGUGGGUUCUCAGGAGCAACAAAAGGACAGCUGGUCGAAAAAUGAUGGACAAAUGAAUGGAACAAUGGAGGAAAGCUUGGAAACCGAGACAGUAGUUACAGAGAGGACAGAGAUGGAACCUGACAAAGAAGAACUUCAGAAAGAGCAUAAGACGACAAAUGACUUGGGCCCAAACGGACCAACAAAUGAAGGAAUGACCUCCGCUGUUUCUCACAAUGUAAAGAUAGACAAAAGAGAAGAGCUAGAUAAGAAGAGCAUUGAACCUCUAUCACCAAACGUUUUGCCUACCGUUGCUCUGUUCCAGUCCUCGGCUGACUCUUCUGGUUCCCGAGGGUGGGAUAAAUCUCUAAAAACUCCCAUCAGAACCCACAAAAUCAAUGUGGGACCAAUGACGGGCCUGCAGACUGAAGAACAAAGUAUGAAAUCGCCUGUUUCAUCAACACCAGAAGAUCAAACCCAGGCUCCCAUUAAGGUCUCAGAGCUGAAGAAGAGAUUCGAACAUUAGAUCAUCACAAAUCAAGCAUACUGAAGCGAAACUAAAAAAUGACUUUUUUAGAUUGUCAAUUACAAGUCUACACGAAACAACACUUGCGCCCCAUUUUGAUUCUUGUGAGGCAACACUGCUGAGUCAAGUUCGAUAAGCGUUCCAUACUGAACUUUAAGACUGUGGAAGGUUAUUUGUCUCAUGUACCUGCUGGUUAAAACUUAACGCUGACAUCAGUCAAUAAAGUCGAAUCAAAGGCAAUGCAAGUUACUCCAAUUUGGUGAAGGAUUGUUUAUCCCUUUGGAAUAAUGUACACUGAACGUGCAUUAAAGUAAAUCAGGUCAAUUUUAACUUUCAUUGUAGCUAAAUGCAGAAUGUUAUCAAAAUAAACUGAUAAAUGCACCAAUUCUGACCAAUAAAGAAAAUCCAACACUUUUUUUAUCCAAAUAUAUUUAAUCAUUUAUAAAAACCUAAUGAGACUAGUUGCUAACUCAGAGCAAAUAUUGACACAGCCAAAACCAAAAACUCUCGAUGAGAUUUACUCACAGAUGCAUUUUAAUUAAUCAUACAGUCACUUAAUCACGGUUUGAUCAACAAAUAUGUUACAGACAUAAUACAAACCUAAUACAAAACAACAUUUGGCAAAGUGCAGUAUAUAUUUUUCUCUCCACCUUUAAAAAAAACUGCAACAUAGCAUUCACUUUUGGUCAUUUAAAGUAUUCAGUAUGACAAUGGUAAACUAUUUUGGAGGUAAAGCUGCCACGUGACUCCUUCAUGAAGACUCUCAGGUGAGUAAACUUAAAGUACAGAUGAAGUAAACAAAGUCAAACUGGUUUGGCUGUCCAUGUAAACCAUCUGGCUUUUUUUUACUUUUGAUGAAUGCACUUCCCAGUGUCUUCAGAUAUCCCAAGUGUGAUAGCAAAACCUCUUCAUGCAUACUUGAAUUGAUUUGUCAGCAUUAACAGUGCAUUGCGAUGUCAAAGCAUUCUCACCUCUCUCUCAAAAAUGCCAAAUAAAUACCCACCACCACUUCAAACGUUCUCCAUCCAUGACCCUCCACUUGUUUGUCAGGAUUGCACACGUGUGUGGACUCCACAUACAUAUCAAUAUUAAGUUAUAAUGAAAGUUCUGUUUAGGUCUACCUGAUCAACCUAAACAGUGGUGUGGUUUGAGCAUCGUUCAGAUCAGUCUCUCCUCUUUGGGCAGUGGGAGAGCGAGCCCGGGUCUCUCGGCUCCGUGGUUCUUGGCUUGUUUGCGCUCUUCCGCGCUGGGCUGGUAUGAUCCCUCCAUCUGCUGCCUCUUACGAAGGACGCACGAGAACAAAACCAAGGCCAGAGUCAGCAGGAACAACAGCGGCAUGAACAGGCCCAACGUGCUCUCCGAACUCAUGAUGCUCCACACAUGCACAUGUGAAAACAAACACAGACUGAGAAUAUCUGUGCAACAGUGGUUCAAGGGUGUGUCUGUUCAAAAAGACACAAAAUGUGAGUAUCCGUGUGUGUGUGUGUGUGUGUGAGAGAGAGAGAGAGAGAGAGCGAGAGAGAGAGCGAGAGGUACCUGGUUAAUUGUGACUACACAGUGGUCAUCCUUUUACAUUUUGGAAGGGAACUUUAACCUAGUGGAAGAGGAAGAUAAAAGCAUGACAUGAAUUCCUACAGUUCACAAACACAUUCACAGAUGAGAAGAUAAUUUCAAAAGAGUCUACUGUUCGGCUGUGGACUGAUGGGGUUAAUUAUUAGUCUGGGAGAACAACACUAACCUACAGCUACAAGGACAUCCACAAAAACACUUAACACACAGCUGAACAUGAACUGAACUCACCCUCAAGUCGUUUCCAAAGCUGUAUGGCUUUCAGUAAAUUGACUAAACUGGUGUCUUUUCCUUAAUCUGAACUAUUUUUGACUCUGAAAUACAGCAC
ensembl:lncRNA